ACAUAUUGACGGGGUUCUCAGAAGCACAGCCUCUGAUUAGCUGUGCUGAUUUCAUUAUCAGAUCUACACACAGAGCCAUGAAGAGUUUGAGGUGUUCACCACUGUUCUGUCGCCUCAAGUUUGUCGGAAGAGAGUGAUUUUCAAGCACCAAGGAGAAAAGGUAACACAUUUUCUCAUUUGAGCUGCAGGAUCAUGUAAUACAGCAGUUUAUACUACAGAGCUGAUGGUAAAGAUAAAAUGUUUUUUUUGUGUAUGAGAUGGUUGUGGCAGCAGACUACAGCGCAGACUGUGAUGAAGAGCUGAGUGUCCGUGCCGGUGAGGUGGUGUUGCUGCUGUAUCAGGAGAAUGCUGACUGGUGCUAUGCCCGACUUCAGAAUGGAAAGGAAGGAUACCUGCUCACAGCCUGCUUCACUACGAAGCAGGAGUCAUUGAGGCCCAUUGUGACUCAGGCAUCGCAGAGCUUUACACAAACGUCAUCUAAUGAUCGGAUUGGCUGCUCUGGAGGGCAUUCUCUGAAACUGCCGCGGCGAGCGUCUCUGUCAGGAGUGCCAGGUUCCCCUCGAUUGCUUCAGAGGCUGCUCUCUCGUCGACGUAGUGACGGACAUGCUGUACGUUCGAUCGGCUCCAUCAAUCCUGCAUUUCAUCCUGACUGAUGCAUCCAACCCUAGAGCUCCACCUUUCUUUUCUAAAAUGGGUCACAGAACAGCAGAAAAUAGGACAAGUAUGACACCAAAGUUCAGUCUGUAUGCAACUCCUUCAGAUUUGGAGAUAAAACAGAAGUUCGGUGUCCUGAUUAGGGUUUGGGGCCUCAGUAACUUCGUAGCCAGUUCGUGGCACUGAACCUGCAACUGGUGUCAAGAAUCUUUACCAUUACUGCCCCAUGUAAAUAUGUAAAUAUUGUGAUUUUGAUUGGAAAUGUCACACUCUUCUUCACCUAUGAAUGUAUUUGAAAUGUAUGUUUUGACUAAUAAUACAGAAAGACUACAAUGAGAAAUUGUUAUUAGUUUAU
rnacentral:lncRNA from 1 species